rfam:Enterocytozoon bieneusi H348 ctg01_283, whole genome shotgun sequence.
UCGGCAAAUUGAUGAAAAACUCGGGAAAUCAUGGCUCUAGCAUCUAGACUGGGCUUACAAGGGAAUUUGACUGUUAAUAAAAACAUAGCUUGUGUGUACGCAAAGUGAAUCUGCCCAGUGCUGGGACGUUAAGGAAGUAAUUUAAGUACGCACCUGUAACGGCGGGAGUAACUAUGACUCUCUUAAGGUAGCCAAAUGCCUCGUCGCCUAAUUAGCGACGCGCAUGAAUGGAGCAACGAGAUUCCCACUGUCCCUGCUCACAGAUUUGCGAACCUACAGCCAAGGGAACGGGCUUGGGACAUGCAGCGGGGAAAGAAGACCCUGUUGAGCUUGACUCUAGCCAAGCACAGGCCUCUGUGACUAUAUCGUAGCGAGGUGGGAGAAAUGUGUGAGACCACUGACAUAGUCGGCGGGGGCACUCGCAAAGCUUGGUGGGGAGUUUGGCUGGGGCGGCACGACUACUAAAACAUAACGUAGACGUCCAAAGGUAAGCUCCGAGGGGAUGGAAACCACUCCGAGAGUAUAAGGGCAAAAGCUUGCUUUAGUUAUUAAUGUAAAUUAAUAAUACUGGAAACAGGGGCCUAGAGAUCCUCUAUGAAACUAAGCAUAGAGGUGACGGAAAAGUUACCACAGGGAUAACUGGCUUGUGGCGGCCGAGCGUCCAUAGCGACGCCGCUUUUUGAUUCUUCGAUGUCGGCUCUUCCGAGCAUGGUGGAGUAUCAGCCACCAAGUGUGUGAUUGUUCACCAACUAACAGGGAACGUGAGCUGGGUUUAGACCGUCGCGAGACAGGUUAGUUUUACCCUACUGCAUCGCGUCCGAGAGUAGGUCGGGGCAGUACGAGAGGAAGUGCCGAUCAGAACCGCUGGUGAUACUUUCGUCUGUUAAGGCGCGAAGUGUAGCUACGUUCUUCUUAUAAUAGCUGAAAGCCUCUAAGCUAGAAUGAGUACUUAAGGACGCAAAGAUAUGAAGACUACAUAUGUAAGGAUGAGGGUUGUACGAUAUAAGCUUCUGCGAGUAUUUCAGACCACUUAUUUCCUUUUAGAACAUGCUGCUCGAUACUACAGAAUCNGGAAAGAAAUUUUU